GCGGGUUUAGCUCAGUUGGGAGAGCGUCAGACUGAAGUCAAACUUUAGGAUAUUGUUAUCUGAAGGUCAUGUGUUCGAUCCACAUAAACCGCA